GGGGUCACGGCUCGGUGGUAGAGCAUCUGCCUUGUGAGCAGAACGUCCCAAGUUCAAUCCCCGACAUCUCCA